AGCAGCCGCGGUAAUUCCAGCUCCAAUAGCGUAUAUUAAAGUUGUUGCAGUUAAAAAGCUCGUAGUUGAAUUUCGGGAUUCAUCCGUUGGUCGGGCUUCACGGUCCGUACUGGUGUGAUGGGUUCCUACCUUCUGAAUAACCGGCAUGCCAUUAAUUUGGUGCGCCGGGGAAGCAGAACUAUUACCUUGAAAAAAUUAGAGUGCUUAAAGCAGGCAAGUGCCUGAAUAGGUUAGCAUGGAAUAAUAAAAUAGGACGGCAUGGUUCUAUUUUGUUGGUUUCUAGGAUCACCGUAAUGAUUAAUAGGGAUAGUUGGGGGCAUUAGUAUUCAAUUGUCAGAGGUGAAAUUCUUGGAUUUAUUGAAGACUAACUUCUGCGAAAGCAUUUGCCAAGGAUGUUUCCAUUAAUCAAGAACGAAAGUUAGGGGAUCGAAGACGAUCAGAUACCGUCGUAGUCUUAACCAUAAACUAUGCCGACUAGGGAUCGGA
rnacentral:rRNA from 1 species